GGACGGGUAGCUUAGGCGGUAGAGCACGAGACUCUUAAUCUUGGGGUCCCAGGUUCGAGUCCCACAUUCG